rnacentral:tRNA from 1 species
GUAGGCAUAGUUUCAACAAAAACAUUAGAUUGUGAUUCUAAAAACAGAGGUUAGAAUCCUCUUGCCCACC